GUGGAGCCAACCUUGAAAUACCACCCUGACAUAAUUGAAGUUCUAACCUAGGUCCAUUAUCUGGAUCAGGGACAUUGUAUGGUGGGUAGUUUGACUGGGGCGGUCUCCUCCUAAAGAGUAACGGAGGAGCACAAAGGUUCCCUCAACUCGGUCGGCCAUCGAGUUUAGAGUGCAAAGGCAUAAGGGAGCUUGACUGCGAGACAGACAUGUCGAGCAGGAGCGAAAGCUGGUCUUAGUGAUCCGGUGGUUCUGUAUGGAAGGGCCAUCGCUCAACGGAUAAAAGGUACGCCGGGGAUAACAGGCUGAUUCCCCCCAAGAGUUCACAUCGACGGGGGAGUUUGGCACCUCGAUGUCGGCUCAUCACAUCCUGGGGCUGUAGCAGGUCCCAAGGGUAUGGCUGUUCGCCAUUUAAAGUGGUACGCGAGCUGGGUUUAGAACGUCGUGAGACAGUUCGGUCCCUAUCUGCGGUGUUCGUUGGAAACUUGAGGGAAGCUGCUCCUAGUACGAGAGGACCGGAGUGGACGUACCCCUGGUGUUCCGGUUGUCACGCCAGUGGCAUUGCCGGGUAGCUAUGUACGGAAGGGAUAACCGCUGAAAGCAUCUAAGCGGGAAGCCCCUCCCAAGAUUAGGUUUCCCUGGAUCCAUGAGAUCCCUGAAGGGUCAUCGGAGACUACGAUGUUGAUAGGUCAGGUGUGGAAGCUCAGUAAUGAGUGAAGCUAACUGAUACUAAUUACCCGUGAGGCUUG
rnacentral:rRNA from 1 species